rnacentral:rRNA from 1 species
UGGGGAAUAUUGCACAAUGGGGAAGACCCUGAUGCAGCGACGCCGCGUGAGCGAAGAAGUAUUUCGGUAUGUAAAGCUCUAUCAGCAGGGAAGAAAUGACGGUACCUGACUAAGAAGCCCCGGCUAACUACGUGCCAGCAGCCGCGGUAAUACGUAGGGGCGAAGCGUUAUCCGGAUUUACUGGGUGUAAAGGGAGCGUAGACGGACUGGCAAGUCUGAUGUGAAAACCCGGGGCUCAACCCCGGGCAGCUGCAUUGGAAACUGUCUGGCUCGAGUGCCGGAGAGGUAAGCGGAAUUCCUAGUGUAGCGGUGAAAUGCGUAGAUAUUAGGAAGAACACCAGUGGCGAAGGCGGCUUACUGGACGGUAACUGACGUUGAGGCUCGAAAGCGUGGGGAGCAAACAGGAUUAGAUACC